UUAACCUCAGAUCAGGCAAGGUCACCCGCUGAAUUUAAGCAUAUUACUAAGCGGAGGAAAAGAAACUAACAAGGAUUCCCCUAGUAAUGGCGAAUGAACAGGGAAUAGCUCAACUUGUAAAUCUCCGCUGUGUUGCAGCGGCGAAUUGUAGUUUCGAGAAGUACUUUCCCGGCGCGUCCGAGUUUGCCUAAGUUGCUUGGAACAGCAACGUCGCAGAGGG
rnacentral:rRNA from 1 species